AUAGGCAUCCUCAGAUUUUUAUAGGUGAUUAUACCUUACUUGCCUGGAUAAAAUCUCCAACUUCUCACUUAUCAAGAAAACAAACAGACUUCUACGGAUGUCAGCAUGUUGAAAAAUAAGCCCUAGAAUAUUUUAAAAAGCAAGGAAUAGAGGAAUUUUGUGACCAAUAAGCACAUCAAUCAAAAUAAUACAAUAAUAUCAUAAGAUAUACUUGAAGAGAAGGAAAGCAAAUUUGUUCAUGAGCCGUAUGAGCCGUUCUGCAAAGGCAACGACAUAGAAAUAUAGAAAAAUUUACUAGAUGGAAACAUCAAUGAUCAAAAGACCCUACCA
rnacentral:lncRNA from 1 species